UGGAUGAGUUGCGAACGGGUGAGUAACGCGUAGGUAACCUGCCUUGUAGCGGGGGAUAACUAUUGGAAACGAUAGCUAAUACCGCAUAACAAUGGAUGACCCAUGUCAUUUAUUUGAAAGGGGCAAAUGCUCCACUACAAGAUGGACCUGCGUUGUAUUAGCUAGUAAGUGAGGUAACGGCUCACCUAGGCGACGAUACAUAGCCGACCUGAGAGGGUGAUCGGCCACACUGGGACUGAGACACGGCCCAGACUCCUACGGGAGGCAGCAGUAGGGAAUCUUCGGCAAUGGGGGCAACCCUGACCGAGCAACGCCGCGUGAGUGAAGAAGGUUUUCGGAUCGUAAAGCUCUGUUGUAAGUCAAGAACGAGUGUGAGAGUGGAAAGUUCACACUGUGACGGUAGCUUACCAGAAAGGGACGGCUAACUACGUGCCAGCAGCCGCGGUAAUACGUAGGUCCCGAGCGUUGUCCGGAUUUAUUGGGCGUAAAGCGAGCGCAGGCGGUUUGAUAAGUCUGAAGUUAAAGGCUGUGGCUCAACCAUAGUUCGCUUUGGAAACUGUCAAACUUGAGUGCAGAAGGGGAGAGUGGAAUUCCAUGUGUAGCGGUGAAAUGCGUAGAUAUAUGGAGGAAC
rnacentral:rRNA from 1 species